CCCUUAGAUGUCCUGGGCCGCACGCGCGCUACACUGAUGCAUUCAACGAGUUUUACCUUGGCCGAGAGGCCUGGGCAAUCUUUUAAACCUGCAUCGUGAUAGGGAUAGAUUAUUGCAAUUAUUAAUCUUGAACGAGGAAUUCCUAGUAAACGCAAAUCAUCAAUUUGCAUUGAUUACGUCCCUGCCCUUUGUACACACCGCCCGUCGCACCUACCGAUUGAAUGGUCCGGUGAAGCCUCGGGAUUGUGGUCAGUUCACUUUAUUGGGAGUUGGCUGUGAGAACUUGUCUAAACCUUAUCAUUUAGAGGAAGGUGAAGUCGUAACA
rnacentral:rRNA from 1 species